rnacentral:misc_RNA from 1 species
GAUGAAGAACGUAGUGAAAUGCGAUAAGUAAUGUGAAUUGCAGAAUUCAGUGAAUCAUCGAAUCUUUGAACGCACAUUGCGCCCCUUGGUAUUCCGAGGGGCAUGCCUGUUCGAGCGUCAUUAUAACCCCUCAAGCUCAGCUUGGUGUUGGGGCCUGCUGCACUGGCAGCCCUUAAAAUCAGUGGCGGCGCCAUCUGGCUCUAAGCGUAGUAAUUCUUCUCGCUAUGGAGUCCUGGUGGAUGCUUGCCAUCAACCCCCAAUUUUUCUAUGGUUGACCUCGGAUCAGGUAGGGAUACCCGCUGAACUUAAGCAUAGCAAUAAGCGGAGGA